UACAGAGGGGGCAAGCGUUGUUCGGAAUUACUGGGCGUAAAGGGCGCGUAGGCGGCCUUCUAAGUCGAACGUGAAAUCCCCGGGCUCAACCCGGGAACUGCGUCCGAUACUGGAGGGCUUGAAUCCGGGAGAGGGAUGUGGAAUUCCUGGUGUAGCGGUGAAAUGCGCAGAUAUCAGGAGGAACACCGAUUGCGAAGGCAGCUCGCUGGGACGUCACUGACGCUGAGACGCGAAAGCGUGGGGAGCAAACAGG
rnacentral:rRNA from 1 species